rnacentral:rRNA from 1 species
GACGAACGCUGGCGGCGUGCCUAAUACAUGCAAGUGGGACGCAAGGAAACACACUGUGCUUGCACACCGUGUUUUCUUGAGUCGCGAACGGGUGAGUAACGCGUAGGUAACCUGCCUAUUAGCGGGGGAUAACUAUUGGAAACGAUAGCUAAUACCGCAUAAUAUUAAUUAUUGCAUGAUAAUUGAUUGAAAGAUGCAAGCGCAUCACUAGUAGAUGGACCUGCGUUGUAUUAGCUAGUUUGUAAGGUAAGAGCUUACCAAGGCGACGAUACAUAGCCGACCUGAGAGGGUGAUCGGCCACACUGGGACUGAGACACGGCCCAGACUCCUACGGGAGGCAGCAGUAGGGAAUCUUCGGCAAUGGACGAAAGUCUGACCGAGCAACGCCGCGUGAGUGAAGAAGGUUUUCGGAUCGUAAAGCUCUGUUGUAAGUCAAGAACGUGUGUGAGAGUGGAAAGUUCACACAGUGACGGUAGCUUACCAGAAAGGGACGGCUAACUACGUG